UACGUAGGGUGCAAGCGUUAAUCGGAAUUACUGGGCGUAAAGCGUGCGCAGGCGGUUUUGUAAGUCUGACGUGAAAUCCCCGGGCUUAACUUGGGAAUUGCGCUCGAAACUACGUGGCUCGAGUGUGGCAGAGGAAGGUGGAAUUCCACGUGUAGCGGUGAAAUGCGUAGAGAAUGUGGAGGAACACCGAUGGCGAAGGCAGCUCGCUGGGACGGAUGACUGACGCUGAGACGCGAAAGCGUGGGGAGCAAACAGG
rnacentral:rRNA from 1 species